CAGCUCGAGGUCUGUAGCACAAACUCUUUCCCAGCGCUUUGUCGAAUAAGCCUUUGUGUGUCUGCACGUCUCCCCUGACAUGCUUUGUGAGGACAGAUGGGGUUUUGAGACAGAAACAAAUGCAUGCGCUGCUCACAUCCGCCAGCGCUCGCUUUGCCAAGAAGAAUAAUUACACCUGGAGCAGAGGACUGGUAAUUUGAUGUGGGCACUUCCACCUCCACUGCAGAGGGCAACCGGACACCAGCCGACCCAGGAUCCCACCCACAUCUCACCCUAUGCCUGUCCCUGGGGCGCUUGUACACAUCACCAGGCCCCCACCCCUGCUUUCA